CUCUCAGUACAAGUCAAGUGGUCAUGUCAGCUUCUCUUCUCACCUUAAAAAUUUUGGAUUUGAAGCAGAAGCCAAAAGCCUGAAACGACUCCUCUCAGUCGAAGGCGAGUUUCCAGAGGGAAGCGAGUCGUGACGCCCAAGUCCAUCAUUGCGAUGGAGGGAUUGAACAGAAC